ACGGAAGGCAGCAGUGGGGAGUAUUGCACAAUGGGGGAAACCCUGAUGCAGCGACGCCGCGUGAGUGAAGAAGUAUUUCGGUAUGUAAAGCUCUAUCAGCAGGGAAGAAAAUGACGGUACCUGACUAAGAAGCCCCGGCUAACUACGUGCCAGCAGCCGCGGUAAUACGUAGGGGGCAAGCGUUAUCCGGAUUUACUGGGUGUAAAGGGAGCGUAGACGGCAAAGCAAGUCCGAUGUGAAAUUCUGGGGCUCAACCGCAGAACUGCAUUGGAAACUGUUUAGCUAGAGUAUCGGAGAGGUAAGUGGAAUUCCUAGUGUAGCGGUGAAAUGCGUAGAUAUUAGGAGGAACACCAGUGGCGAAGGCGGCUUACUGGACGAUAACUGACGUUGAGGCUCGAAAGCGUGGGGAGCAAACAGGAUUAGAUACCCUGGUA
rnacentral:rRNA from 1 species